AACAUCUUAUGAAAUAUAUUUUUGGGAAACCCCUAUUGCUAUUACAUAAAUUAACAGUAACAUUUAACUGAACAGACCAUUUAACACAAACACAUAAACUAAAUUUCAAGGUAACUUUUAGUUAAUAGAAAUGUUAAGUCUUUAAAAACACCAGCACCAAUGUUAAAUCCGACACAUUCUCUGUUAAGUGCGCGUACUGUUAAUGUUUACUAACAUUUAUUAUUCUCCUAGUACAACUCUAAUAUAAAGUUAAGCGCAUGUGUUGUUGCUAGAUUUAUUAUUGUUUUGUUUUAAUAUUAUUGUUGUUGUUGUUUAUUUUAUGCAUUUGCCAAUUCUCUAGUUCUCAUGGUGAAAUGUUAAAUAAGAAAAACAAAGAAAAGCAUAGAAAAUAAAAAAAAAACAAAUUAAAUUGAUGCGCUUUUUUUUGUGUUCGCUGUUGGUCGGUCGGCUUUUUUUCGUUCAGUUGAAAGAAGUAAUAGAGAAAGCAAUAAAGAAUCAACAGCAUUUUUAUUACUAUUUCGUGUGUUUAGUACGUCGGGGAAUUAUAAUUGUGUUGAGUGUGUUUUGUUAAGUGGAAUUUCUAUAAAAAUAAUUAAUGUAAAAUAAAGAAAUUAAUUUAAAUGUAUAUAUUUCAUAUAAUUGUUAAAGAUUUGCUAAGAAUAUAGAUUGAAACGAUGAAAAGCUAAACAAAAAAGCAAAAGUGAACAAAAAUUUGCAAGAAUAAGGCGAACCAACAACAAAAACUAUACAGCAAAAUAGUCAGACCAGCAGUGUGAAUGAAUACCGUUCGUUUAUUUGUAUGUUGUCAUUUUCAACUUCUUCUUCUUCUUCGUUUUAAUAGUAUUUACACUUUCUUGUGACGACGCUAAUUAUGCAAGUGGAAACCAAUUGAAUACAAUAAAUAAAUAAACAUAACAAAUAAUUUAAUUAAAAAAACGUGAAAAAUUCAACAACACCAAUAAUAAAUAAAUAAAAAAAGAAAAAUAACAGCAAAAUAGAUUAAAAAAACAAGUAUUUAGUGCAUAAAGCAAAAUAAACAACAAAAACGCCAAAAGUCGUUGAACUAAAAAAAAAUUACACACGUAACAACAAAUUCUCAUAACGGUGCUUGUAGUAAAAACAGAAACUCAAAAACUUUAUAAUUAACAAGAAAAAACAAAGUGCAAUAUAGUGUAAUAAGUACAUAUAGGUAUAGUUUUUUAAUAAAAAAAGUUAAAAUUAAAUUUUAACAAAUAGGUCCGUCUGGUUUUUUGUGAUUAUUUUUUAUUCAUAUUUGUGGACCCCAGACAUUAACAUACGUUUGUCAAACUUUAUUCCUCUAACGCGCGCUCUCCCUCUCUUGCUGUGUGUUUCUUUUGCAGCAGAAUAGUAUCUCUCUAUUUUUUGUAACAUUUUACUUGUUAUUGGUCUACCAUUGCCCUUAGAUUACAGCCAAAAAACAUAUCCAACCAAAUUAUUGCAUAGAGAUGCCAAAUUUCUAACAAGAAAAGUAAUUUAUACAACAAAUAAUACAUAUACAACAACAUAUUUUUCUACAACAAUAGAAAUUAUUAAAAUAUUUUGAGAAAAAAAGAAACAACAAAGUUUAACAAAUUUUUAGUGAAUGUGCGUGUGUGUGGUUUUAUUGUUUACAUUAAAUUUCCAUAACAGACUGAGACUGCAUUAGUGUGCCUAUAAAACUUUACAAAAACUGAUUUGCAAAAACAAAAAGAGUGAAAUUCCUAUUCUAAAAAAAAAUUAACACCAACCCAUCAAUAAACUACUUUAUGCUAAAUUAAAACUAGCAACAACAAUAAAGAAUCUUCCAUAUACAAAACAGAAAAGCAUCCCAAUUAUCUUAUCUCUAUUUAUAAAACAUUAUAAAAAAACUAUUCAAAGAAAACAACAAAAAAUCAACUAACUAAUUUGUUUAUAUUCAUGUUUACUGUUAUCUUAACGUAAAAAACAAAAAACAGCAACUAGAAAAAAACCAAAACAAAUAACAAAAAAAUAACAACAAAUACCGACCACUUCAAACACAAUUUACAGAAAUUCAUAACAAAAACAACGCCCGUUAUUUUGCCGUCUGUUCUUCUUAUAGCAAAAUCAUAACAGAGCAAAGAAUCAAUAAUAAAAACAAACAACGUCUAUCGUUCGUGUUCUCUUAAAUCGUUUUAUUCGCAAUAAAAAGUCUCUCUUAAACGCCACAAAAAAAGUAAAAACAAUUGCCGGUUAACUUUUGACAUUUGCUUUUAAACGCGUUCGCGUAUAUUUGUUCGUGUGUGUGUUUAUAAAUAAUAAAAAAAUAAAGUGUUUAAUUUCUUGUUUCGCCCCCGCGUUCAAUUAUCGUGUACCGUGAGUGUAAGUGAGAGUGAGUGUGUGUAUUAUUGCCAUAUCUAUAGAAAAUAAUUAGAAAAAAUAGUGUGAAAGUGUUUAAAUUCUCAUUCAUCCCCAUCACUUGUUUUGUUAAGCGGUUAAUUGGUUUAACUUUUCUAAUCGUCUACUGAUUUAAUCAUCAGUGAUGCAUCAGCCGCGUUACAGUCCAGCUCAAACUUUACCUCAAGUACCUCCUCAUGGAGGUAUGAGGCCACCUUUACAACAACCAACACGUCCUCCAACAUUUGCCAAUGUAAGU